rnacentral:lncRNA from 1 species
AAUUUAUUUAUUUAUUUUUUUCUCCACAGCUUUAAGGCCAUUUUCCAAGACUACUGGAUUAGGUGUAUGUUGUACGGACAGACCAGCGUUAGUGUGGCUUGCAAUAUCCUUUGCAAAGCAUUCAUCUUGUAUUACAGUGCCUGCAAUGAUAGACCACAGCUUGUCUGAGACUGAGGAAAAAACACAAAAAAGCCCGCAAACCAGAAACCCUUUCAACAAAAGAGCAGUAGAUGUUCAGGACACCUGCUGUUACAAGAGAUCUUCCUACAGCAAUUAAUUAGUUCAUAGCUGCUGAUAUCUAUAUUCUGGAAGUAAAUGCUCAAGGAAUUACUGGCUUAAACUGGCUUUAAAUUGGAAUCACCUGGAAAAAAUGUGCAACACUUGGAAAAUCUAUUUGGUAGAGGCCUGGGGAGGUUUCCCAAAAGGAUACAGAUCUGAAGGUAGGUAAUUAAUGAACUAGGCCUUGAAUACUGGUAGCUUACCUUUUAUUGUCUUGCAUUAGAAUUUU